rnacentral:lncRNA from 1 species
GUGGACUGACACCAACUGGGAAAGGCUGAUGCAAGCAGGGCCCAGCUCUGCAGACCCAGAAUUGGAAAUGAGAGACCCAAGCUAGAAGCAGCGGAGAGAGAUCCCGGGUUGGGACGCCCCACCUCUGGCUCCGUUCACACCUCUCCAGACGUGAGGGAUGGAGGAAGCCUUGCUGGCCCUCUAGGACAGCACCCCCAGAUGUGGGCCAGUGGGGUAUGUGAGAGGAUUUAGGGGGCACAGACAAGCUUUUUCUUAAAAAAUUUAAUAUUUAUGGAUUAAUUUUAAUAUGCAUUAGAAAAAUUACACAACUAGCCUGUAAUAUACGUGACUUGAUGAUACAGUUUAGAACGAGGGUAAACUUAAUUAAAUAAAAAGUGGGAGAUAACAGAUAAACAUGAAGUCGCAGUACAAGUGGGGCUGAUGUGGUUGAUACUGAACUUUGAAGACAGACAUUCAGGAAAGAUUGCCCCUGGCUGGUCCUUUCCUCUCUACCAUGCUUCAUGAAUGAGCCACUCGCCUCUGCUUGAAUGCUUCUCAAAAUGGGCAAAUCACUACCUAAUAAGGCAGCUGUGACCGUCUCUAGAUCCAGGAAGCCGACUCGCUCCAGCACCACAGUUUAGCCCCACAAACUUGCGUCAGUCGCCUGUGAUGCACCUCAUGUGGACUAGGCACUGGAAUACGGAGCUUACAAAGACGCAGCUCCGCCUCUUUGCCCAAGGGCCUUUGCCUCUUGAGCCUCCCACUUCCCCAGCUGUAGAGUGGGUAUAAUGCCCCGUUAAAUAAGGAAAGCCCCUGGCACAUGGUGGGUGCUCAGUAAAUGUUACUUCUCUUCUCCUUGACCCCCUCACCAUCUUCUUGUGCAACACAGAUACUGGAUUAGUGUAAUAGAAGGGGCAUGGUCUUAGGGACUCCCUAGCUAGCUGUGUGACCUUGGGUAGGUCACUCAACCUCUCUGAGCCUCAGCUUCGCCAUCUGUAAAAUGGAGAUAACGAUACCAUUCAUUGUGCUUUUAUGCAGGUAACAUGAGAUGUUACUUGCAAAGCUCCCAGCAUAGCAUCUGUUCAAACUUCCCCUUAAAAAAACUCUUCUUGUCUGAACCAGUGCCACCCUCUGUAGCCCCAUCUCAGGGCCAAGCUGCGGGUGAGGCAGACAGGGCAGCACCGAGGGAGGCCACCCCUCCUGGGACCUGCUCUUUCUCUCUGUUCUUUGUCUCUUGUGGUCCAGAGUCCUCUCCGGCUCAUCCCGGCCGCUGUUUCCACCCCACGCUCCCAGCCGCAGCCGGGCGCAGAGGAGGAAAAGACCCCACUGGCCGGCCUGCAGCUGCAUCCCUUCCUCACUCCCUGCCAUCACCCCCUUCUCUUCCUCUCCAGGCCUUCCUGUCUCCCCUCCGCAGCCCUCACUUCCAGACAACAGUCACUUUUUACAUGCCCUGCCUUCCUGGUAGGAGGUCCUACCUGUCCUGACUACAGAACCAUCAGGGCCCUGGAAAACCAUGAACCCACGAAAUCUGACCUGUGACACAUAAAACAGGCCACGUCCCUACCCAGCGGCUGUGAGAGCUUCUGCUUCUCUCUGCCCUCCCAACUCCCCCCACCCACCCCCCAAUGUCACUGGAGAUGAGCAUGCGAGCUCGUGGCCUCUCAGGUCCCCUGCUGACGACUUCCUUCUGUGUGCUGUGUGUGCCGUGGGCAGAAAGGCAGAGCGGUCCCCUCACCUCCUCAGGCUCUGGCACUGGGUCCGGCACUAGGGAUCCGGCCAGGAAACGUUUGUGGGAGGGACGGAGGGAGAUCUGAGCAGGGGACAUGGGCACCACGGCCAGCCUUCUUCCACUGCCUGCUGACAUUUGCUUUCUUUGCAAGCAGCUGCCUUGGGCAGUUCCAGAAAUGCACACAGGACUGUGUGGCCUGGGGCCUGUGCUCUCAGAAGCAGCAUCAUCUGCCAGGUCAAUGUGAAAUCCCCAGCCCUGGGCAUUCACGCACAACACUCAAGUGAUCUCAUGCAUUCCUGGGUGACAGCGCCGGGGCCACAGCCCCCAUAGGCAGGAGCCAGCGCCAGGGGCCGUCCCAGCAAAUGCGAGGUGGUGCUCUGAGAUCAUCGUCAUGAGAGCUGCCAUCUCUGCAACGUGCCAGGUCUGGGGCCCGUGGCCCACACGCACCUUCUCACAUGUUCCCCCGGCGACACCUGGGGGAAAUAUCCACGCCUCCAUCGUGCUGCGGAGAGAACUAAAGCACAGAGAGCACCAAAAAAAGGGGAAGAAAGAAAAGCAAGAACGUCUCUUUGUGAGGAGGAUGAACCACCGGGGGGAACGUGGACGCCCAGCGGGUUUGCCGGGACUCGUCUCGGGGAAAGUCAGCGGCUCUCUGCCUCCCGUGGGGAGGCUUCGGGACGGGAUGGGAAGGACGAGGGGGUGUGAGCCGGGUCAGCCUAACCCAGGUGGAAACAGCUGUGGCCCUUCCCCUCCGCAGCUGCACGGCCAGAGCUGGGGGAGAUGAACCUCACUUUGCGAAGGGCCUCUGAACUUCCAGUCUAACCAGCGAGGGAAAGAAGAAAACCCAGGGGGGGGGGGGGGGGGGGGGGGCGCUAAAUGACCACGUGACCCGGGAUGCCGACCCCGGGGGAUUCCAGCCAGAUCCUCAGGGACUCAGAAGGAAGCAAGGGCUGGUGUCUGCCACCCUCCCCCCCGCCCCCCAGAGGACUCGGAGGUUGGAUGUCCCCGGGGAGAAGGCAGGGCUAGGGUGGGCGGAGGGCAGGGGCCGGGUACAGAUGGAGAGAUGGAGGCCGAGGACAGGAUGCUGGACACUGGCUGUGAGGAUGUGGGUUCAAACCCUGCUCUGUGCUCAGCCCGGGCCGCUUGAGGGCGGGGCAGACCCAGUGUGGAAGGUGCUGUUCUGGGCAAGAGAUGCUCGGGGUGGAAGAGACGCCCCAGGCUGGUUCUGGAACAGAGAACUGGAGACGGGCAGCCGGACGGAGCAGGAACGGCCUCUCUAGCUUUUCAGCUGUACAGCCUGGGAUCCUCUUUUGUAAAAUUAUCCGGUGUUGGUUGCUUUUUUCUGUCCAGUGAGGGCUCCUGGUUCCUCUGAUCAGAGAUGGUACCCGGAGCCCUAGGCCUGGCCGCUGAAAAUCCUCCAUCCUGGGCCAGCGUGAUUGGGCCAAGGAACGGGCACGUGACCACGCACGACCAAUCGGAGCCCUUCCCUGGACCGAGCCCCGGCCCCAGGAGAAAGAGGCUCUCCUGCCCGUGGCUGAGCAGGGGCUCCCCAGAGUCUGGGUCUUGGCCUCCAGGAAAUGGCACAGCAGCAGGAGGAGAAAAACAAGGCCGCCGGCAGAGAGAGGAAGGGACGGGCCGUUGACUGGCUGGCACCCACAUUGCUUCCUGCAGUUCUGGGCCUUUGGCAUUAGGCUCCUCGGUUUUCCCUUAAGGCCCUUUGAGUUGGCUUCUGCCUCUGACCAUUGAGCCAACCUGACUGAUCAGACUGUAGCUGGGAUUUCGCAGAGGGCAAAGCACCUUGGGAAGGGAGAAAGGAAAGAACCCUGAUUCUGCGCCUGCUGUAUAUUAGGCACCACGCCGGGGGAUCUGUUCCAGCGCUCAUAACCACCUUGGAAAUUAAAUAUUAGUAUUGCCUGCAAAGAGCCUGGGGCACAGAGAAGCAAAGUCACUUGCUCAAGGGCACACAGGCAGCAAAUGCCAGAGAUGCCCAGCCUGUGCUCCAGCCACAGCUGUUCCCCAGGCGUGCCGGGAGCUCUCCGGGUGCUGUGCCAUGCCAGGCUCCUGGUGUUCCUUCUGCCUGGAACGUCCUCCCCUCCUUGUCCACCAACUUAGCUGACAUCUUACCUUUCUCACCUUAGUUUUCUGUGACUCACAAUAUGCCCCCCCCCCCCCAACACACACGUGCCUGGCCCUUAACCCAGGUGCACUCUGUGCUCCCUGCCCUGGUCAAGGUCGUCGAUCCUGGAGGGAUGUGCAGGACUACAGCGGGAUUACAGGCCCCAUGCCCCUCCCUGCACAGACUCAGAGCCGCAGCAUCCCUGUGCGGCCCAGGCGCUUGGCCACCCCGAAAGAGGGUUUGACACAGUCAUUCACUUCUUUGCCUUUAAAGGAAAUGCCAGUAAACAGCUCUUCUGCUCUGACCCGAGCACAGACGGCGGGAUUUGAGGCCCUCGAGAGAGGGUGUCUGCAGGUCAGGGAGCCUCUGAGAAGUCUCCCGGUCACUGCGCGCGAUGAGAGGCUGCCCUCGGGUGGACCCGCAGCCGGCCUCCCCGCCCCCCCCCGGGCUCCAGCUGUUUUGAGAGUACAGAUGGGAUGGGUCGGGGUGGGGUCGGGAGAGAAAGCAGAUCCCGAACCUGGGGAGUGUCUCCCGCACGGCCAGGGCUGUAAUAUGCUGGCCCCCGAUAGUUCCCUGAGCAAGAAAAUUUCAGCCAAAAACCGGGGGACUUUUCCAUCUGGACAACAUCAGAUUCCUGUCUCAUUCAGGCUCAACGUAAACAAGGUGGGGCGGGAGUGGGGAGCAUUGGGUGACGAUGUGGGAGAGGGCUCGUCUCCAUCCCACCCCCACCCGCUGGGACCAGGAGCAGCAGCUCCCCAAGCCGAGCCCCAGAGCCGCAUCUCAGAGGGCGAGCCGGGGACCAGAUGCUCAGGAAGUCCCUCCCAGCUCUGCCCAUCGCAGCACCCACGGUGUGAAGGGGGCAACCUCACCAUGGCCGGGGGUGUGGGUGGGACCUCCACCAAAUUCCUGACCAUAAACCAGGCAAGCUGAGGCCUCAGCGAAGACUGGGACAUUGAUCUUUGUUAGGCCACCUCAAGAACACCCACCAACCAGCCAGGAUUCCAGGAGCCAGGUGGUCCUGCGUGAAAUCCCAGCUCCCCACCCUGUUGCUGUGUGACCUUGGCCCCCUGAGGCUGAGUCUCAGUUUCCAUUUCCGCCCCCAGGGUUUCCCAGGCCCCACCGUGGUCAGGGCCACGUUAUGACUUGUGUGGGCCCCGGGCACUUUGUCUUCCUGGCCC